rnacentral:rRNA from 1 species
CCUACGGGGGGCUGCAGUGGGGGCUAUUGCACAAUGGGGGAAACCCUGAUGCAGCGACGCCGCGUGGGUGAAGAAGCGCCUCGGCGCGUAAAGCCCUGUCAGCAGGGAAGAAAAUGACGGUACCUGUAGAAGAAGCCCCGGCUAACUACGUGCCAGCAGCCGCGGUAAUACGGAGGGGGCAAGCGUUAUCCGGAUUUACUGGGUGUAAAGGGGGCGCAGACGGCGCUGGAAGCCAGGAGUGAAAGCCCGGGGCCCAACCCCGGGACUGCUCUUGGAACGGCGUGGCUCGAGUGCAGGAGGGGCAGGCGGAAUUCCUGGUGUAGCGGUGAAAUGCGUAGAUAUCAGGAGGAACACCGGUGGCGAAGGCGGCCUGCUGGACUGCAACUGACGUUGAGGCCCGAAAGCGUGGGGAGCAAACAGGAUUAGAUACCCUUGUAGUC